UUUUGGGUUAAACUUAAUAUUGUUGGUUGAUUUGUUUGGAUUAUGUAUUUCCUGAGGAAGCUGAAGAAGGUCAAGAAGAGCAAUGGCUAAGUGCUUGCCAUUAAUGAGGUUUGUUCUCUCUGCCAUUUAUACUUUAUUUUUUUUUUCUAAUUAAUAAAUUUGUACCCAUUUUGAUUAUUUGUCAGUGUCUAAUGUAGUAAAUGUUGUUUUGCAAUGGGGAAGUGGUUCCUCCUCAACUCUCCUCGUGGCGAAAUCCAAUUUGUUGCCAAAGGUCUCGCCUUUUACCCCAAAGCGUCACUCUUUUAUCACAUUUAUUUCGCUUUUUUCUAAUUUUGUUUCAAUCAUUUGAAUCGCAUUUUGCAUUUGAUGUUUGGCUUUGGUGGCAGAUGUGAAGGAGGCUGCGUCAGAGGCAUCCCCUCGAAAUGCCCGGUUGAAUUGGAGACCUUGCAGGGCUUGGAUUGUGCAUCGAGUACUGAAGAGCUUGGAUUGUGCAGCAAGUACUGAAUUUGUUGUGGCACUGGAACACCAAGGAGUUUGUAAGUGAAAGGAGCUGCCAGCAAAGGGCUAAUCUUCUACAAGUGGUGACUCAGAUUUUUGUUUUUUAGGAAGAGGAAGAAAAAGUAAAAACGGGCAUCCAACAUUCAAAAAC